UGGAUUCGUGUUGCGAGAAGUAUCAGAAGAUCUGGUGAUGUGAUUAUCAAAGUGAUCGGAGAUGAAGAUUCGUAUAAAUGUUCAAUACUUUGUGGAAAUCGGAGUCGUACGAUUCAAAAGGAAUGUAAGUAAAAUUGUUAAAGUUUAUAUCUAUGAUGGAGUAUAUAAGAUACAGAGUUUGAAGCGCCUUCAAAUGAGAUUUGGAUUAGCUGUGUUAUUGCAGGAAAAUUUGGUCACAUACCUGCAAUGUGUAGCUUCACACAUAACAGGAGAUGAAAAAGUGACCGUGACCCACAAAUAGUGAUGGGUCCCUAACAGAACCUCUAUCAAUAACUUCAGUCCUCCAUCUGCAAAUAAACAUGUCAGAUUCACUUGCUUGGC